AUUGAACGCUGGCGGCAGGCCUAACACAUGCAAGUCGAACGAGUGGCGGACGGGUGAGUAAUGUCUGGGAAACUGCCUGAUGGAGGGGGCUAACUACUGGAAACGGUAGCUAAUACCGCAAACCAUCAGAUGUGCCCAGAUGGGAUUAGCUAGGAGGUGGGGUAAUGGGUAACCUAGGCGACGAUCCCUAGCUGGUCUGAGAGGAUGACCAGCCACACUGGAACUGAGACACGGUCCAGACUCGUACGGGAGGCAGCAGUGGGGAAUAUUGCACAAUGGGCGCAAGCCUGAUGCAGCAAUGCCGCGUGUGUGAAGAAGGCCUUCGGGUUGUAAAGCACUUUCAGCGAGGAGGCGUUACUCGCAGAAGAAGCACCGGCUAACUCCGUGCCAGCAGCCGCGGUAAUAC
rnacentral:rRNA from 1 species